AACGAACGCUGGCGGCAUGCCUAACAUAUGCAAGUCGAACGAGACCUUCGGGUCUAGUGGCGCACGGGUGCGUAACGCGUGGGAAUCUGCCCUUGGGUUCGGAAUAACAGUUGGAAACGACUGCUAAUACCGGAUGAUGACGUAAGUCCAAAGAUUUAUCGCCCAGGGAUGAGCCCGCGUAGGAUUAGCUAGUUGGUGGGGUAAAGGCCUACCAAGGCGACGAUCCUUAGCUGGUCUGAGAGGAUGAUCAGCCACACUGGGACUGAGACACGGCCCAGACUCCUACGGGAGGCAGCAGUGGGGAAUAUUGGACAAUGGGCGAAAGCCUGAUCCAGCAAUGCCGCGUGAGUGAUGAAGGCCUUAGGGUUGUAAAACUCUUUUACCCGGGAUGAUAAUGACAGUACCGGGAGAAUAAGCCCCGGCUAACUCCGUG
rnacentral:rRNA from 1 species